GAUGAACGCUGGCGGCGUGCCUAAUACAUGCAAGUCGAGCGAACGGACGAGACGCUUGCUUCUCUGAUGUUAGCGGCGGACGUGUGAGUAACACGUGGAUCACCUACCUAUCAGACUGGGAUCACUUCGGGAAACCGUCGCUAAUACCGUAUAAUCUUUUGAACCGCAUGGUUCAAAAGUGAAAGACGGUCUUGCUGUAACUUCUAGAUGGAUCCGCGCUUCAUUAGCUAGUUGGUAGGGUAACGGCUUACCAAGGCAACGAUGCGUAGCCGACCUGAGAGGGUGGUCGGCCACACGGGGAGGGAGACGGGGUCCAGAGGCCUACGGUAGGCAGCAGUAGGGAAUGUGACGCAAUGGGCGAGAGCCUGGCGGAGCAACGGGGCGUGAGUGAUGAAGGUCUUCGGAGCGUGAAACUGUGUUAUGAGUGAAGAACAUAUGUGUAAGUAACUGUGCACAUCGUGACGGUACCUAAUCAGAAAGCCACGGCUAACUACGUG
rnacentral:rRNA from 1 species